rnacentral:rRNA from 1 species
AUUGAACGCUGGCGGCAGGCCUAACACAUGCAAGUCGAGCGAGCGGCGGACGGGUGAGUACUGUAUGGGGACUGCCCGUUAGAGGGGGAUAACUACUGGAAACGGUAGCUAAUACCGCAUACUAUCGGCUACCCCAUAUGGGAUUAGCUAGUAGGUGAGGUAAUGGCUCACCUAGGCGACGAUCCCUAGCUGGUCUGAGAGGAUGAUCAGCCAAAUUGGGACUGAGACACGGCCCAGACUCCUACGGAGGCAGCAGUAGGGAAUAUUGCACAAUGGGCGCAAGCCUGAUGCAGCCAUGCCGCGUGUGUGAAGAAGGCCCUAGGGUUGUAAAGUACUUUCAGUCGGGAGGCGUUACCGAAAGAAGAAGCCACGGCUAACUCCGUGCCAGCAGCCGCGGUAAUAC